rnacentral:rRNA from 1 species
GGAACCUGGUUGAUCCUGCCAGUAACAUAUGCUUGUCUCAAAGAUUAAGCCAUGCAUGUCUAAGUAUAAACAACUUUAUACUGUGAAACUGCGUACAGCUCAUUAAAUCAGUCAUUAUUUAUUUGAUGGUUUCUUACUACAUAUGGAUACCCGUAGUAAUUCUAGAGCUAAUACAUGACAAAAAAUCCCGACUC